rnacentral:rRNA from 1 species
CCUACGGGAGGCAGCAGUGGGGGAUAUUGGGCAAUGGGCGCAAGCCUGACCCAGCAACGCCGCGUGAGGGAAGAAGGCUUUCGGGUUGUAAACUUCUUUUGACAGGGAAGAGUAGAAGACGGUACCUGUCGAAUAAGCCAGGGAUAACUACGGGCAAGCAGCCGCGGAAAUACGUAGGUGGCAAGCGUUGUCCGGAUUUACGGGGGGAAAAGGGCGUGUAGCCGGGUUGACAAGUCAGUUGGGAAAUCCUGCGGCUUAACCGCAGAACUGCAUUUGAAACUGUUGAUCGUGAGUACGGGAGAGGCAGACGGAAUUCCUAGUGUAGCGGUGAAAUGCGUAGAUAUUAGGAGGAACACCAGUGGCGAAGGCGGUCUGCGGGACAGCAACUGACGGUGAGGCGCGAAAGCGUGGGGAGCAAACAGGAUUAGAUACCCUGUAGUC